CUGAAGAACAUCUAAGGAAUGCCCAAGGUCCACCUGACCUUCACUCAAGGAAAGUCCAAGGAACACCCAAGAAACACUCAAGGUUCGUCUGACCUUCAUCAAGCAACACCCAACCUUCACCAAAACUUUGCUCAUGAGAAAUUCCUCAAAUUCACCUGGGAUUCACCAAGAACACCCAAAACCCACCCAAGGAACACCCAAGGAACACCCAAGGUU